rnacentral:rRNA from 1 species
AGAGUUUGAUCCUGGCUCAGGAUGAACGCUAGUGACAGGCCUAACACAUGCAAGUCGAGGGGUGGCAGUGUAGCAAUACAGCUGACGACCGGCGCACGGGUGAGUAACGCGUAUGCAACCUACCUAUUACAGGGGAAUAACCCGGAGAAAUCCGGCCUAAUACCGCAUAAUACUUUCGGAUGGCAUCAUUUGGAAGUUAAAGAUUUAUUGGUAAUAGAUGGGCAUGCGUUCCAUUAGUUAGUUGGUGAGGUAACGGCUCACCAAGACGUCGAUGGAUAGGGGUUCUGAGAGGAAGGUCCCCCACACUGGUACUGAGACACGGACCAGACUCCUACGGGAGGCAGCAGUGAGGAAUAUUGGUCAAUGGGCGAGAGCCUGAACCAGCCAAGUCGCGUGCAGGAUGACUGCCUUAUGGGUUGUAAACUGCUUUUAUACAGGAAUAACAACAGCUACGUGUAGCUGGAUGAAUGUACUGUAAGAAUAAGGAUCGGCUAACUCCGUGCCAGCAGCCGCGGUAAUACGGAGGAUCCGAGCGUUAUCCGGAUUUAUUGGGUUUAAAGGGUGCGUAGGCGGUCUAUUAAGUCAGUGGUGAAAGUUUGGAGCUUAACUCUAAAAUUGCCAUUGAAACUGGGAGACUUGAAUACGGUAGAGGUAAGCGGAAUGCGUGGUGUAGCGGUGAAAUGCAUAGAUAUCACGCAGAACCCCGAUUGCGAAGGCAGCUUACUGGACCGUUAUUGACGCUGAGGCACGAAAGCGUGGGAUCAAACAGGAUUAGAUACCCUGGUAGUCCACGCCGUAAACUAUGAAUGCUAGCUAUUGGCGAUACACAGUCAGUGGCACAGAGAAAUCGUUAAGCAUUCCACCUGGGGAGUACGCCGGCAACGGUGAAACUCAAAGGAAUUGACGGGGGCCCGCACAAGCGGAGGAACAUGGUGUUUAAUUCGAUGAUACGCGAGGAACCUUACCCGGGUUUGAACCGCAAGUGA